rnacentral:tRNA from 1 species
UGGGAUGUCGCCAAGCGGUAAGGCACAGGACUUUGACUCCUGUAUUCGUUGGUUCAAAUCCAGCCCUCCCAGCCA